AAAGGCUGGUGGGGGUUUGUUUUGGUGUUGUUUUUGCUCACAGGCUUUCGAGCGUUUUCCUUAUAAAACGGCGUUUUUACCGUUUCUUCCUGCAGUAAAUAUAAACAACGACAGUAUUCAGGAAGAAAACCAAACAUUGCAGAUAUUUUAUCAUAACUCUGGUUUUACGCGGCCGAUCAACACGAUUUAAAAACUGGUAUAAAGUCCACACUUUGUCCGUCAGUUGUUCCGUCUGUCCUGCUCACAUCUCCAAUGGUUGUACACGUUGUCAUUAACGUGGCUUCACUCCACAUCAGCCGCUUUGCUAAAACACCGGUGUCGCACAUAAGGACGCUGUCAUAGCCUGUCAGCCACGUUGAUCAGCUGCGUAUAUACGAAUGUGAAUCGCGUGAUUGGCUGGACUACGGGAUAAGGUGGCCUCGUUCUGAUCCCAUACGGGAGCAGCCAGUCACUGACUAACACUGCAGAACAGAAUCGUUAAAGUUUUCAUUUUAAUUUCAAUUCAGGUGAUUUUUCUUUUUUUUUUUUUUUUUGUGCGCAACGCAGAUUUUCUGUGCAGAGACCGUGCCAGCAGUGCGCAAUUGUGCCAGCAGUGCGCAAUUGUGCACGCGCGCAGCUUAGAGGGAACAUUGCUUGCGAGUGUCGGGUCUUUUGUGUUUGUAGAAAAUGUUUCAUAUCUUUGAGUUGAGCUCAUGGAAAACAGGAGCAAAAACAAAAGUGUUGCGUUUAUAUUUUUGUUCAGUGUAAAUGAUAAAACAUCAGGUUUGACCCAGAAUACAGUUUGAUCCACAUGAUGGCGCUGUGAAAAGUGCGCGCUGUACUGGUGGCACCAGUGUCCCCAGCCCACAGACCAGUGCUGCCACUAAUCGAGAUUCAUUAGCAGCAUCUAAAUGCUGUUUAAAGGUGGACUUCAUCUGUCACACAGGAGCAGUUUGGCUUCGCUUUGCUUAAAUAAUGACCUGGUGUAUUUCUGUAUACACACCUGCUAAGGAUCAGGUGACUCUUAUAAUAAAAGGUUAAUACGU
ensembl:lncRNA